UACGGGGGGGGGCAAGCGUUGUUCGGAAUUACUGGGCGUAAAGGGCUCGUAGGCGGCCAACUAAGUCAGACGUGAAAUCCCCUCGGCUUAACCGGGGAACUGCAUCUGAUACUGGAUGGCUUGAGAUUGGGAGGAGGAUGCGGAAUUCCAGGUGUAGCGGUGAAAUGCGUAGAUAUCUGGAGGAACACCGGUGGCGAAGGCGGCAUCCUGGACCAACACUGACGCUGAGGAGCGAAAGCCAGGGGAGCAAACGGG
rnacentral:rRNA from 1 species